CGGGAAAAUAUCCAUCAAGCAUUUAUAAACCUUUUUAAACCCAAUAGUGAAAAGCUAUUAACCUGCAAAUAAAGUAACAAAAAUUUACAUGAAAUCUGUAAUCAAAGUCAAAAAUAAAUUAAAACCACAAAAUCAAAACAAAAGGAGUUAAGUUUUUCAGUACUAAGUUACCAACAUGAUAUGGUUUCAAUCUCUGGCCAUCCAACUGCUCAUCAAGAAAUAAGAAGUUAAAUAUAUUAGUAAUUCUCUAGAAAACAACCAAACUGGAGCAGUUUCUGCCAUGUUAAAUCUAGUGGAAAAAUAUAACCCCACAAGGAGUAUCGCAGUAGAUAUGUUAAAUAUAUUAGGCAAUGAUAUAAUAUAUGUAUUAUGUUGAAUAUACUAAUUUUAUUUAAAAUAAAUCAUAUUGUAUUACCAUAUUAUAUGAUGCGUCGUUUUCAUACUGUUGCCUCAUCUAACUAAUCCAUCCUUGAUUAUAAGAAAUUUGUGGGGUUUAGGCAUACAAUAGAAUCCUACUGGAAAAGAAUCUAAGAGAUAGUUAAAGCAAAUCCCAUAUCGGAUGGGUUUUUUUUAAUUACUAGUUUCCGAGUGUUUAUUUAUUAUUUAAUAAAAUUAUUUUAUUUCUUAUUUCUUAUAAAAUUAAUUAAUAUAUAAUAUUCAAAAAAAUAAGGAUUUUAAAUCAUAAUUAAUUAAUUGUAUAACAUUAAAAAGCAAUUUUAAAUUAUAUGAAAUAUAAUCAAAUUAAACUUUAUAAAUAUUCUUAACACUUCAUUUAUAUUUUAGAAUGAGAUUAUAUAUAAAUUUUUUUAAAAUUUUAUAAUAAUUUAUUUUCAUAAAUAAAUAACUAUUGAGAUUAUUAAAUCGUAUUAUUAAAAAUGAGAAAUGAAUUGUAGAUGAAUUGAAAAACUUGGACCUCCAAAAAAUAAUUAAAAUACAAGUACAUGUAGAUAACUCAAAAUAUCCAACUUCCUAAAAAAAGUAAAAUAAAAUUUAAUUUUAAAAUAAAUACUAAUAAUAUUAUAAAUAUAUUUGUAAUAAAAUAACCUUUUGCUUUGAUCAUCUUCUUCAUCAUUUUCGGUCAACAUUGAACUUCUGAAAAUAUAAAUAAUAUUACAAAUAUAUUUAAAUUUUUUAUUUUAAUCUUUUGCUAUAAUUUUUUAUUCUUGCCAUCAUCUUCUGUCUUGAUCUUUUUAUUCAAUUUUUCAUCAUUGUCAUCAUCUUUAGUUAAUAUUAGACUUCUUACAUAUUAAUUACCUAAAAUAUUAUAACAUUAUAAUAAUAAAUAAUAAUAAAUUGUUGUUGUAAAUUGGAGAUAUUAUAAAAUUAUAAUUAUAAUAAUAAUUAGAAGAAUAACAUAAAGAAAAUUAGAAUGAAUAAGAAUGUACAAUUAUAAAAGUAAAACUUUCAACAAUAAAAUAAAAGGAAAAAUAAAUAAGAGUGACUUUAAAUGAUAAUAAUUGGUAUAUAAAUAUAGCCCUAAUUAAAAGAUAAUUAAUUUAAAACAAUAUAUAUCAUUAAUAAUGAAUUAAUAUACUUAUGUAGUUAAAAGCAAUAAAAAUUGUAUGUAAAAUAAAAAUAAAAAAAUUUAUUGAUGGGUGCCAAAUUCACCAAAAUAAAAAAUCUUACAUUUCAAAUAGAAUUUAAAUUCAGUUAGAGAAGUAGAAUCUAUCUCACAAAUAUCGAAUUGAUAAAUUUUAUGAUUUCUCGCAAACAAAAAUGUGUUAUGGGCAAUUUUGUGCCCAAGACUUGUGCAAACCUACGUAAAUAAGGUAAGGGGUUGAAACAAAUAAAAAUAAUAAUAAUUGCGAAAUAAAAUAUAAAAAUUCAAAUAAAAGUAGAUUAAACUAGAAGGAUAAAAACUCUAACCUCAUUUGUGACUUUACUUUCGGUUUCUGAGUUGAUCACGGAUUAUAGAUGUCUUCCCAUUUGAUGUGAUCAAGGAAUAGUCUUAGAUCACAAAUUCUUUCGUAAUAGCAAAUUAAUCAUGAAAACAACCCAACAAUUAAUCCUUAUCAAAUGAAUAACUUUGAGAUCAACUCUCACAAUAUAAUUCUUCGAUAGCCUUGUGAAUGAGAAGACUGUGACUCUAAUUAAUGACCUCAAUUACAUGAAUCAUUUAAAUUAGAUAGUUAGUUUUCAUGACAUCACCCAACUGUGUAUCUAAUCGAAUCACGUUAAUUGCAUACGUAAUUAAAUCGCACUAAUUUAUUUUUCGGUAAAAUAAAACAAUGAUUACAAAUUAAAUUAUUUUUACCAAUCAUAUAUUUUUCAAAACAACGAACAAGUGACCCUUCUCGAAACAAUGCCAAAAAAUAAUCCUAUAUUUUUAAUAAUCUCGAGAAAAGAAAAAAUGAAUAUUAAAAUAAAGAGAAGAGGAAGUAUAAUUUUAGAUCUCACAAUUCAAAUACUGCACCGUGAAAUUUUUGUUGGCUUUAAGCUAGAAUAGAAUUUAAUUAUGCAAUAAUAGAAAAAUAACAAUGAAAAAUAAAAAAGAGCUUUUACAAAAUAAAUGGAGCACGUCUUCUCCUCUAAUAGUUUAAUUUAAAAGAAAGAAAAGACUGAAUCCAUUUUUCAUGGGUUGUUUUUCAGGCUUAUACCCGUGUGAGAACUUGGCAAUAAUAUUUACUAUUUAUCUAAUUAAAUAAAGAUGAAUCUAAUCUUGGUUAAACUUUCAACAAAAUAUUUUUAUAAAUUCUAAGUUUAAAUAAAAGUAAUUAAUAAUUUAUUAAUCUUAGUUAUAGGUUUAAUUCAAUUUCAACUCAAUUAUAUAAUUCAAAUAAAUAAAAAUUGUUAUUUUUUUAAAAAAAAUUUAUCUCUUUUAAUAUCAACUUGGUAAUAAAAUGAAUAACAAAGGAUAUUCUCAUUGAUUUAAAAGUUUUUCUAAACUCGUGCUUUUAUUUUCUUAAAAUGAAAUUUCAUUAAUUCAUUCUAUGAAUGAGACCAUACAAUUCGAGGAAAAAACAACAACAAACAUUCGUCAUAAGUGAUGAAUGACAAACUCCAUCAACACAACAAACUCUUUAGCCUCACAAUCAAUAUAACAUUAUGACAUGUUGACAAUUGACUAUGUCACAACUCAAGCACGACAUAUCUAGAGUGAUUGUAAGCAAUUAAUAUGAUAAGAAAAUCAGCUCUGAAUGGUCUAAAGUGGCGGGCAAAAGUCACCAAAAGAAUCGAGCAUCCACUAAACUAGAGAGGAUGGUGAAAAAAUUAUCCCUAAAAAUCAUUUGCAAAAACAAGACUAAAAAAGUGCUACAAGAGUAAACAAAAACUUCUAAAAGUCACGGAACAAAUUAUCAAUGCCAACAUGAUUCCAUGCACUUCAUUUUCUUCCUCGAAAGAGGCAAUAGCAUUGAGAUCGGCCCCUAGCAACCACGGCUCAUCCUCCUGGGGGCCUAAAGAUGCAAGAUGGGUCUACACAGAUUUCUAUUUCACUACAUUAGGGCUUGCAUAGAUAGUAGUGAAGAAAAUAUUUUGCUUCAUACCUUAACUGAAACAUCAGUAGUGAAUAAACUAAUUUGAAACCUCGAGAACAUCUAGCUUCAGUUUAUGCCUCCAAAGAAGCCAAAUACCACCCGAGAACCCCUUCACUUCAACCUUAUAUGAGCAAUCAAAACUAGUUCUCCAUAUGAUAUCAUUAGCUUUUCUACCACUCACUUUUGUUUCCAUCAAAAACAAAAUAUCAGGUUUUUGUAAUUGCAGAAGAUUCUUUAAAACAACACCAAAUUUGGAGCUAGCAACUCAUUGACAAUUUCAACAAAUAAUUUUAAGGUCCAUAAAAAAUAGAAAAAGAAAAAUCACACUUAUUGUGAUGUUGAUGAUGGCUCGCCUUGUGGAAAUUCCAAUACACCUUGUUCAACAAACUCUCUCUAACACAUUCGAUCAUUCACAAUUAGAACCUUCAUCAACAGAUUCAUACCAGAACCUUCAAUCUCCCCAAAUGCCACUUCUAUAGGGACCUCAUCCAUAAGUUCUAUUUCGAGAGACAUGCUCGAUUCAUUAAGCUCCUUCAAAAAAAAAUUCAACCCAUUUUGCUACAUUGGAGUUAAGGAGUGGAACUUCAACUCUUUUGGUCACACUGGUAGUAAGAAAAUAUUGCUCAUGGUUAGACUUAAAGGAAUCGAGAAAAAAGCUUGAUCUAUAUCCCUCGGAGCUCCUACCAAAUUUAGAGAAGCAACUCAAAUUUGACCUUGAGGAAGUGCUUACUCAAGAGGGACGCUUAUGGCAAUAAAAUGCUCAUUGUAAAUGAGUAUGUGAUAGGGAUUGAAACACUUAAGUUUUUUAUUGCAAGUACUAUUAGUCGAAGGAGUUCUAAUUUGAUUAGCAUGUUGAAGACGAUUCUAAAAUUUUACAACAAAUGAUCAUAAAGUUAUUCAAGUCUCUUUUCACAAAUGAUUUAUCAACUUGCAAUGGCUCUCUCCAACGAGGGUUAUUCUAUAAAAUGUCUGAGGCUGAGUUUGAAUCCUUGAAGGUCACAAUCACGAAUAAGGAAAUCCAGAAGGUUGUUUUCAAGAUGGCAUAUUUAAAAGCUCUUGGAACUGAUGGGAUACGUGCAAUAUUCUAUAGGAAAAAUGGGCUGUGGUUAGGUAUAGUGUUUGCGAAUUUGUGAAGAAUAUUUGGAAUAGUGGUAGGCUUGAGAGUUGGCUUAACCACCCAUUACUAGUUUUGAUUUCGAAGUGGAGAAUCCUAAAUCCUUUGCUCAAUUUCAACUAGUUAGUCUUUGCACAGUGCUCUACAAAAUUGUGAUUAAAGUUAUAGUUAAUAGAUUAAAGACAUUGAUGCAGAAAUGAGUUAUUCCAAAUCAGUCAAGCUUUGUUCCUAGAAGGAGCAUAACGUACAAUAUUAUUGUUGCUCAAGAAAUCAUCCAUUCCAUGCCAGGAAAUCUAGAAAGAAAGGAUGGAUGUCUAUUAAAAUUGAAUUGGAGAAAGCCUAUGAGAUUUUAUUGGGGCUUCAUUAAGGAUAUGUCAGAGGAUAUUAGAAUUCUAGGUACUAUUCAAGAACUUAUUAUGCAUUGUGUUAGUUCUUCGACCAUGCAAGUUAUCUAGAAUGGGAAUUUGUUUGGUGUCUUUACCCCAUAUUGUGGAAUAAAGCUAGGUGAUCUUUUAUUGCCCUACCUCUUUGUUCUUUGUAUGGAGUGUCUGGCUCAAAUGAUUAAUGUUGAAGUCUAGAAAUGAAGAUGAAAACUUGUAAAACUAUCUAAGAAUGGCUCCAACAUCUCCCAUAUCUUUUUUUAUAGAUGAUUUAGUUUUGUUCAGUGAGGCAUCUGUUAAUCAGAUGUCAAUUAUGAAAAGAAUGUUUAAGAACUUUUGUGUUAGCUCUAGACAUCGAGUCAAUGCACAGAAAACUCAGAUCUUUUUCUCUAAAAAUUUUCCUUACAAAUUAAACGAGAAUAUUAGUUAUGGACUUGGUUUCUCCCAUAUGGAUAAUUUGGAGAAGUAUCUAGGUGUGCCACUUCUACAUCAAAGAAUGACAAAAGAUAUGUACCAAAACAUUAUGGACAACAUGAAGAAAAAGUUGGCAAGGUGGAAUGCUAAAUUGCUUUCGCUAGCAGGUAGAAUCAUGUUAACGAAAGUAUUCAUGGAUUCUAUUCCUAUUUAUGUUAUGCAAUUGACGGUUAUUCCAAAGGGAUUUUGCUCAAAAAUGGGGAAGAUUAUUCAUAAAUUUGUCUGGGCACACACCGAGGAGAAAAAAAGGAUAAAUCUUGUCAAGUGGGAUGAUCUAUGCAAAUAUACAAAAAAUGGAGGCAUUGGAUUCAAGAAAAUUGGCUACCAAAAUGAUGCUUUCCUAAUGAAAAUUGGCUUUAAAUGGAAAGUGUUGUAUGGAAUGUAAGGAAGGGUUUGAAUGUUGAUUUUUGGAGAGAUAAUUGGGUGAAAGAAUGGGCCCUUUUAUGGAAAUUUGUACACAACCCAAUUAUAUACCCAUUGACCACGUACCCGUAAUGGAUAUGGUAUCGUGAAGUGGGGAUUGGAAUUGGAAUGUGAUUAAAUCUAUUUUGCCGCCUCUAAUGGUUUUGAGCAUUUUAACCUAUAAACCUUAUUCUGUUCAUGACAUGGACGAUUUUGUUGGAUGGGAUAAUGUAAGAGGUGUACAUUUACAGUUUGUUCAACUUACGUGUCAAUUUGUUGGAUAGAGAGGGAUAAGAGUGAUAAAAUUUGGCAUCAGAAGUGGCACUUACCUGGACCUUAAAAGGGAUGGGUUUUCCUUUGGAUUGCAUAUUUAAAUAGGGUCCUUACUAAUGAUGGUAGAGCGAAAAGGCACCUUACUUCUGAUGCAAGUUGUAAGGUGUGUGGAAAUUUGACAAAAACCAUUAAUCAUGUUUUGAGGUUUUGUUCCCCAACUGUGGCGACAUGGUUGGUGGUGAUCAAACCGAAUAAAAGACACUUUAACAUAAGGAUUGGUUCAAUAUUAACUUAUUAAAUCUCAAUUAUUUUACUUGCAAUCCUAUUGUUUAGCGAACCCUUUUUGGUGUCAUUUGUUGGUAUUUCUGGAUCAGAAAAAUAAUUUUGUUUUUAAUGUAGAUUUUAUUGAAUGUGAUAGUGUCUUGGAGAAGAGCUACAAAAUGAGAGAUUUUUAUCUUCAUUCUAACCAUGGGAUGGCGAAUUGUUUAAGGCAUAGACAAACAAAAUUUUGUAGACUAGUUAGGUGGAUUCCACCUAAGAAUGGAUGACAUAAGGUGACCAUCGAUGGUGUCGUUAGUAAUGUGUUUCAAAAUGCUUAAGUUGGUGGUUUAAUUCACGACCAACAUGGCAAUUGGAUUGCUGGAUUUUCUAAAAGAAUUGGCUGAUGUUUUUUACUCAAUGCUGAGCUUUGGAGUGCUAUUGAGAGACUACAAGUAGCUUGUAAUCUAAAGUUAAGAAGGGUGGUGUUUGAGAUGGAUAAUAUUGCAGGUAUUCAUUUGAGUCAAGCAACUUCAGUAGAACAACAUCACUCAGCUUGGUUACAAGUUAUUAAAGAUCUAUUCCAACUAUCUUGGAUGGUUCGUUUACACAUGUAUUUAAAGAGGGUAAUAGGGUAGCCAAUAGUUUGGCGUCAAUGGCAUCCUCAAGGCUUCUAGGUAGGUAUAUCUACAUGCAAUUGUCAGAUGAAGUUCUUCAACUGCUACACGAUGAUUGCUAUAGAAUAGCUUGGCCUCGCCUCGCCUAGUUAUUGUUUUUAUCCAUCUUUUUGUACCAAAAAAAAAAUUCUAAAAGUGAAAACUUAUUAAAUAAUGAAAAAAAAUAAAAAAAACAUAUAAAAUUUAAGACAAAACGAGUUCAUACAUACAUGUCAAGCUGACUCUGAAAAUGCAGUCUUGUUAACAUCAACUUCCUUAACCUUAAACUGAUGAUACCCAAAAUAGAGAUCUAUUUUAGAAAAUACAGAAGCCCAAUGAAAUUGAUCAAACAAGUCAUCAAUCCUUAGAAGUGGGUACUUAUUCUUCACUGUUAACUUGUUUAACUAACAAUAUUCGAUACACAUCCUCAUGGUACUAUCCUUUUUCUUUACAAAUAAUAUCGGUGGCCCCCAUGGAGACACAAUAAGAUGAAUGAACCCACGAUCAAUGAGUUCCUAAAUUUGAGCCUUUAACUUCAUAAGCUCCCUCGAUACCAUAUGAUAAGGAGUGAUGGACACCAGAGUUGUAGUUAUAGCAGAAGUUUGAUAUCGAACUUAACUUUCCAAUUCGGAGGCAAACUAGGUAAUUUCUCGGGAAAAACAUCCAAAAAUUCCUUAAAUGUUCAGAUGUUCCCAAUAGAAGAGUCCACAGAAGUUGAAUCACUUACAAAAGCCAAAUACGCUUCAUAUCCUUUCCAAACUAAUUUUUCAGCCACAAGAGUGGAAAUCACAUUGGAUAAGUAAUCUUGACGCUCACCGAUCAUAACCACCUCCACAUCAUUCUCAGAUUUCAGAACUACCCUCUUAGCAGCACAAUCCAAACUGACUCGAUGCUCCAUAAGCCUGUCAAUACCCAAAAUUAGAUCAAAUUAUCCAAACGGUAGUUCCAUCAGAUUAACCGGAAAUACAACCCCUUGUACCUCUAAUGGCACAUUCCUAUACAGUAUAUUAACCCCAAAAGAUUGGCCCAACGAACUAAGAACAGUAAUUUCACUGAAAGUGCUCUCAAUUGAAACCCUCAAGUUUACAGAAAUAGAACUAGCUACAUAAGAAUGUGUUGACCCUAUGUCUAUUAGUGUAAAAUAAUGGGCAUCAUAAAUAAAGAACGUACCCGUAAUCACAUCAAUGGCAUCUCUGUCCUUACGACGUCUAGCAGCAUAAACCAACGCAGGCUACCUCGCCUCAAUCUGAUUAGCACCUCUACCCAAUGCUCUCUGCCCCUUACCCAUUCCAUUACCACCUGGGCUGGACCACGGCCUCUAGGCGGCUAUUAAACUGCCCGUUGAGGUUAAACAAAACCCUGAACUAGAGCUUGCAUCUAAUCAAAACGCUGUGGGAAAUCUCUAAUACGGCGCUCCAUCGACUCACAUCGCAAACACACUUCUAACCUCGUCCAACACUUGCCCGGAUAGUGUCUACCACAAUCCUUACAAGGCUGAGCCACAGUAGGAUCAAUUGGCCCCCAACUCUAGUAAACCCGUAAGACCUGGCCCAUUUUUUAGGCCUUUGAAAAGAACUAAAGGGCUUCAAAUCCCUCUUAUUCUUACCUCUAUCAAGGUCACUAUUCUCACACUCUACGUGCUUAACCUUUUUAGCAAUCUUCGCCUUGUUUACGAAUUCCUACUCCCUCUGUGGAGUAAUCAAAACUCUUAGAUUAUCCUUUAAACUAUCCUCAAAGCGAACACAUUUCUCAUACUCAGUUGCCACCAUCUCAUGAGUGUAAUAGCUUAAUAUAAAAAAUUCAGCCUCAUACUCAGCCACAGUCCUAUCCCCCUGAGUGAGGUUUGCAAACUCGAGUCUACGAGUAUCCACAUAGCUUGUCUCUACAUAUUUACUCUGAAAGAUAGUAUUAAAAUACUCCUAAGAAAUCCAAUCCAGCUGAGUACCCUCCUCAACUGUUAACCACCACUGAUACACCUCAUCAUGAAGCAAAGAUAUUUCACCGUUCAACUUCUGCUCAGAGAUGCAAUUGAUAUUGUUCAUUAUCCUCUCGGUGACCUCUAACUAGUAUUCGAUCAUAGUCGAGCAGCUCCAGUGACGUCCUUAAACAGCUUAGUACCAUUAGACCAAAGUCAUUCAGUUACCGACCCACGGCUCCCAAAACCAGAAUAGGCUCCAACGACCCUCUCCAACACUCUAAGCAUAGCUUGGGACAAUGCGUCGUCCCCAGUCGAGUGACUAUGGAACCUAGUCUCAGCAGUAGGUGUAACUGGUGUCUCACUUGUAUCUAGAUUAGGCAUACUGCCCAUUGAUGACUACUCAGCUCAAGUCCCUUUACGGAGUUCGCUACGCCCAUGAGUACUAUGACUACAUAUUCCACGAGAACUCAUCAUAUUCAUAGCUUUAUCUAUAUUACAAAGUUUUAUGUAUUAGUUUCAGUGUUUAUUAGCAAGUAUUUUAUGCUUCAAAUAAUUAUCAGAAGUAGUUUUAUAAAUUUAAGAAAUUUUCAGUCUUUAACUAACUCAGUGUAGUUUUAAUUAUUUUAGAGUUUUCUAACUAAAUUAUUUCUAAACUAGAAGUACUUACAGGAUCGGCUCCGGAAACUCGAUAUUUUACAAACUUACAUUUCAAAAUGAAACUAAACUUUACUCAGAAAAUAAUUUUUACAAAUAUAAUUGUGAACCCAAAAUUGUCACAUCUUGAGUUUUACAUGCUGGCUCUGAUACCACUAAAUGUAACACUCUAAACUCAGUCUAAAAGUUAUGGUCGAAUUCAGAAGUGUUACGAAGAAAAAUUAUAAACCCGACUUCUUUCUUUUUAAAAUCAUCGUAAAUCGUUGUUACUUAGUAAGCCCAUUUUGUUUGGAAAGUCUGUUGUCAUACUUAUUUAAUUAAAACUGUUGUUCGUUUAUGUCUUUCAAAUAAAUCGAAUAUUUUGCAGCGAAGUUUCUUAAAAUGUUAUAUCUGGUAAACUGGGUUUGUUUUCUUGAAAAUAGUUAAUUUAAGAAAAACAGUCAUUUUCAUAAAAAUUGUUUUAUCAAUCGUCAUGCUAGAAAAUCAAAAUAAAAAUUCGAAACCAAAAAUAGUCUCAAAAGUCUAGAGAGUCCAAAUUAUACAAAACUCUCAAACCAGAAAUUUAAAUAAGCCAAAUUUAAGUAAAUAAAAUUUUACAGCAAUGUGGACACAACCGAGCUCCUGUCGCACCGACUCACCUAAGUCUGAGGGUUACUUGAAAUUAUCAGCCGUACAAAGAGUGAGUUUUCUCUUAAAACUCAGUGUGCAACCCAUACAUAUAUAGAAAUUUAGAUUUGAUCACAUAGCUGAACAAAUACAAACAUACAUUUAAUACAAAAUUGUAUCAGCACAGUACAUAUGCGGAUAAAUAAAUCCUACUUCCAUCCGCUACACACCAACUCCAACCAUCCUAACACACCACAUAGGGUAUAAAACACUCACUCAACCCUGCACACCACACAGUACCUGUAAUGGCCUAAAUUCAAGGUUAUCGGAACAAUAGUUUCGUAAUCAUAGAUCCGAUUUAAAGAGAAAUUUAUUUCAAUAUUUUUUCUUGAAAAUUUAUAUGAUAGGAAAAUCGUAUGAAAAUAUUGAUAGAAAAAUUUUACUAAUUUAGUGAUUAGAUAGAAAAAGAAAUUAUUGAAGAAAUUGGGUAAAAAUAAGGUAUCGAGACCUCUAUCUCGUAAAACCGAGUCAAAAAUAAUUUUAUAAAUAUUUAUGAAAUGUUAUUAGUGUGGUAUUAAAAUUUCGUUAGGAAAUUUUAAUGUUUGGGUAGUCAAUUAAAUAAAAAGGACUAAACUGUAAUAGGUGUAAAAGUUGCUAGAGUGAUUAAAUAGCUUAAGAGUCUAAUGAGAAAGGAUUUAAAAGGAAAUUAGACCCAAAAGUUAUUUGGGCUGGACGGCAAGGGUAUGAAAUCAGCAGAAAAAUUGAUAAAUUAAGGGUAAAAUUGGAAUAUUGCAAAAUUAACUAAAUAAAACUAGGACUAAAUAGGAAAUAUCUAGAUUUCUCUUCAUUUCUCUUCAAUUCCAGCAGCUAAAAACGCCAUAGGAGGGUUCUCUAAGCUGUUAUUUCAUAAUUGUUGCACCAAGUGAGUUAAUCCUUGCCUUUUUCUUGUAAUUUUUGUGUUUCUAAGACUUUUACAACUAGGUCCUACUAUUAAAUUCAUUAGUUUUUGAUUUCAUGUAUGAAAUUAAAAGUCACCAUGGUUGAUUUCUGUAAGUUUAUGAUGAAAUAGAAUGAAAUUAAAGCUUUAAUUUGUUUAUGAGAUGAUUUUAUUAGGCAAUUUCAAUGGAAAUUGAUUUUUAGGACCUAAUUGUGAAAAUGUUUGGAAUUAAAGUAUAUUGCUGAAAUUCUGAUUCCUAAAGGUUGUAAACUAGUUUAAGGUGAUAGAACAAAAUGUUAAUUGAGAAAAAUCAGCUCAAUUGAGAGGCUAAUUGAGUAGGGACGAAAUUAUCAUUUAUUAAAAGCUUAGGGGAAAAAUGGUAAUAAACAGCUUGCACUAAAACAGUUUGGACAGCAGCAGUAGACUAACUUUGAAAAAUCACCAUAAAUUGUAGAAAUCUAAUUAGAUGAUAAAAAAAUAUGGAAUUAAAUCUUAUUGAGUCUAGUUUCUCAUAGAAGAAAUAUUGUAAGCAAUGGAUUUGUAAAUUUUGAGAUAUAAUGAAUUUUGUGAGACAAGGUCAGAAUGAAUUCGGGUUCCCCUGUUCUGACUUUGAAAAAUUAUAAAAAAAUGAAUAAAAAUAAUUAUGGGCUUAAAUUUAUAUUUAUAGAAUCCUUAAUGAGUCUAUUUUUAAUAGAAACAAAUGAGAACAUUAUUUGAAUUCUGUAUGAAGAGAUAAUUAAUUUUUAGUGAAGAAGGGUCAGAACUGUCGACAGCAGAACAGGGGUGACUUUGAAGAAUAAACUGUACUAAUUGGAUAAACCAAAAAUUCUGAAAAUUUUAUGGUAAAAAUAUGUAUGAGUCUAGUUUCAGGAAAAAUUAACGGAUCUUAAUUUGGAGUUCCUUAGCUCAAGUUAUAAAUAAUUUAGUGACUAUGACUCAAGUAGACAGCUUUGAAUGAACUAUAAAUAAUAGUUGAAUUAUAGAGAAUGUUGCAUAUGAACAUGAAAUGUAUUAAAUUGAUAAUUAAAUUUAUUUAUUUAGAUCCAGAAGAUUCAAAUACGAAGCUAGAUCGAGGAAAGGAAAAAGUUCGGGAUUAGUAGAUUUUUACUGUUUACAAACAAGUAUCAAGGUAAGUUCAUGUAACUUGAAUUAUAUUCUUAAAUGCUCGAGAUUGUAUGUUAUUGAUGUGAAUAUGAUUUGAGUGUUCAUUGUAUGAAAAUUAAUGAAACAUUGAUAUAUUUGCUAAAAUGAGAAGAAAUUCCGUUUGAAUGAAAGGAAAAUUCGAUGGAUCUCUGAAAAGGAAUUGACGGUAAAAAGGAUCAAGCCCGGACGGGUGAUCCUAUCCUGAUAUAGCCCUCCCGAAGAAUAUGUGUUAAAUGGAUUUAGCCUGGACUGGUAAUUCAGAUCCAAGCUCAUUAGAGUAAUUGUCGUUGCAGGGGAUUUAGCCUGGACUGGUAAUCCCGACAAUACUUUAUGAGUUUAUAUUGCAGGGGAUUUAGCCUGGAUUGGUAAUCCCGCUGCAAGGUUGAGGUUCGCGGGAGUGUGCUCUCUGAAAUGAAAAUGUGCGCACAUGAAUAUGAAUUGACAGGCCCAGAAUUGUACACUAAAAGUGUACCUCUGAAAAUCCAUCGAAAAUUCCGAUAAAUUCAACGGGAUAAAUAUGGAAAAAUAACAAGGAAAUGGAAAUCAUGGUAUUGACGAGCUCAUCAAUCAUAGUAUAUAUUAUUGGUACAUGGAAAUUAUUGUACUAACUUGAAUGUUGAGUUUGUGCAUAUUAGGGUAAUAAUGCAUUGAAUGGAUAUAUGGAUGUUUAUUGUAUUGUAUUGAAAAUAUUAGGUAAGUAUAAUUCUUGUUACAUGAGCUUACUAAGCACAAAGUGCUUACCCCGUUUCCUUUUUCCCUAUUUUGUAGUGUUAAGAGCUUGGAGGUCGGAUUUGGUCGGAGACACAUCACACUGUCAACCUCAGGAUUUCGGUAUAUAAAGAAACUUUAUUUUGGAAAUCAAUGGCAUGUAUAAGCUAACAAAGUAAAUGUUAACGUGAAAUGAAUGUAAAGUUAGCAACUAGUAUGGUUAACAAACCUGGUUUUAGAUAUGUGAUGACGUUAUCUUAGAAAUAUGCAUGAAUUUAUCUUGAAAAUAUGUUGAAUUGAUUUGGUUGAUGUGGAUUGGUCUUGAUUUAAUAUUGUAGGGAAGGUUAGAUAUUUAUAAAGGGGCUAUAUUGAAUAUAAAAAAAAAUUAAUUCGUAAACUCCGGUAAUGCCUCGUACCCUAUUCCGGCAAUGAAUACGGGUAGGGGUAUUACAGUACCCUUAUGACACUUUCCAGAAUAAUUGCAGCAGUGCUACCAGUAUAAUGACAAGUUAACGCCUCACACAAAACACUUCAUCCAUAUAAUACAUAACCCGCCCUAUAGUCAGAAACAAAUACAAUACCGGAUAUAACAGAAUAACAGAUGUCAGGAUAUAUAUAUCAUACAGCUCGUACAACAGAUAUUGAACAUGCUUAUACAUAACAAAGCAAACAUAUAGCAUCACAUUACAUGCAUUUAGGUGUUAUUUACGUUGAAUUCAUACUAACAGAAUAACAGAUUUCAUGCUUUAAGGCUUAUAUAACACACAUCGACCCCACAGAAGGCCCACAUAUAUGACCUUAGGAAAAAAUUCUGAAAUUUGGACCCACACGCCCGUAUGGCCCAUACGGCCCACACACGCCCGUGUGGCAUUAAAAGGGCCCAAUUUCAGCUUUCGUCGUUCGUUGUUUUUAGAUUUCUCGUUACACACCUUAUUCGACUUCAAUACCCAAGCAAUCACGGGACCCUUAGCAUUUAAAAAUGAGGUUCAAAACAUUAACUUAACGACGAUUCAUGAUACUAAUUCAAAGAUAAGUAUAAUACACAAUGCCCUUAAACAGCUCUCCAAGUACAAUUAAACACUUACCCAAGGACGGAUAGCCACCAUGCGAUUCAAGUUGUUGGGGAAGCGCCAAUCGUCUCACAAUUCUCCCCUAAUAAAAAAUCAAAGCGGUUAACUAGGAGAAAAACGCACCACACACACCCCUCUUAACCAAAGUCAACGAAUGGAACCGUCCCCACAAUGAACAAAAGAGAGAAGAAAAUGAGAAAAAAAAUUACUGACAUAGAAUGAAGCAGCAGCAAAACAAUACACAACCUCCACAAAAAUUGCAAAGCACAGAAGACAACAAUUCAAGGGAAAACAAGAAAUUUGAAGUAAAUGGAUGAAAAAGAAUAAAGCCAACUCUUGAAACUUCUUCCACUUGAAACCAACGUGAAAAUAAAUUGAAAAGAUGAGGGCAUGAAAUUUUAGAACGUGAAAAGAAAAUGACGGCAAAAAUCUUGAGAUAUUUUCU
rnacentral:lncRNA from 1 species